rnacentral:rRNA from 1 species
GAUGAACGCUAGCGGCAGGCCUAAUACAUGCAAGUCGAACGGAUGUAGCAAUACAUUAGUGGCGCACGAGUGCGUAACGCGUAUGCAACCUACCUUCAUCAGGGGGAUAACUACCCGAAAGGGUGGCUAACACCGCAUAAUACUAUUGAGUGGCAUCACUUGAUAUUUAAAUCUGAGGAGGAUGAAGAUGGGCAUGCGUCUGAUUAGCUAGUAGGUGUGGUAACGGCGCACCAAGGCGACGAUCAGUAGGGGAACUGAGAGGGUGGUCCCCCACACUGGCACUGAGAUACGGGCCAGACUCCUACGGGAGGCAGCAGUAGGGAAUAUUGGUCAAUGGUGGGAACACUGAACCAGCCAUUCCGCGUGCAGGAAGAAGGGUCUCUGACUUGUAAACUGCUUUAGCAAGGGAAGAAAAAGCUCAUGCGUGAGAAAUUGACGGUACCUUGAGAAUAAGCACCGGCUAACUACGUGCCAGCCGCCGCGGUAAGAC